CCUUCUGGGCUCAGGUUUAACUACUCUGUGGGUAAUUAAACAGUUAUCUUUUCCUUUUUCAGGUUGCAUCAUUACUCAGACUUCUGAAGAUUUUUUUUAUGAAAUUCAGUCAAAACAUCCCAUCUCUACAUCCCAGACAUUUCCAAGUGUGUGUGAUAAUAUAUGGAUAAUGACUUAUGGAAUCUGCUUAAAUUAGCAGCAGUGUCUUAAUAAAUGUAUGAUAGCUUUGUUUGACAAUAAGUGUACAUGAUUCUUUUUAAUCUCUACACACAGUCAAGAAUGUGAUUUGGAUGCAUUUUCUUUAAAACUAAAUGUGAGAAAGGGAAAUGGAAACCUGUCUGUAAUAAAAAAUAAUAUAGGUGGAUAUUUUCAUUAAUAUUCCUCCUGUGCACAGAUCUGGCCAGGCUUCAGAGCAGGGCUUUUAAACUAUCCAGUGACCAUUUUUUUUUUUUUUUUUUUUUUUUUUUUUUUUUUGGUUUGUCUCUUUAACUUUGGCUUUCUUGGACUUUUCUUUGCAGACCAGGCUGACUUCACAGAGAUCUGCUUCAGCUCCAAAGUGCUAAUACUAAAUAAUAAACAUAUUAAAUUAUAAAUACCACUCCACCUGGCUCUAGCACCAAUUCUUUACUCAAGAAUUUUUAUCUAUGUAUAUAGGUAUAUAAAAUUGGUAUAUAAGCAUUUAUUUAUAUAAUUUUACCACCUAGGGUAAAAAGCAAGUUUGUAUACUAAAGAGAUAGAUGUAAAUGUUUAUUACAAAAAAGAAUUGUUUCUUGGCUGAAUUUGAUACUGGAAGACACAGUUUUUGAUUUUGUAAUCACAGAUGAGAAUGUUGUACCUUAAUACAUUAUAGAAAAUGGAAGAAGUAUAUUUAGGAUUGUUUCAGAAAUUAGAAAUUCUGUUCUAAUCCUUAUUAAACUUUAAUUACUAAAACA